GUGAGGGAUAGCAGAGACAGGCACAAAGAGAUUGAGAAAAGACUAACAGGAAAAGAAACUAUACAACAGAGGAGACAAAGACAUCCAAUGCCAGAGACUUGAGAUUCUGCCCCCACCAAGAGGGCAAGGUUGGGGCUGUACUCCUGGAACUUGAUGGUGAAUCGGAGAUCAACGUCAGGUCUGUCACAGGUCAGGAGCAGGUUAGGAGAGGGAGGGGCCUCACAGCGCCGGCCCUGGGCUCCUCCAACCAGGUCGGGAUGUAGAGAAGAUCCGUACAGUUCUAUUGAAGCCACAAAAGAGCUUUGAGCCAUCAGGGGAGAAACAAAGAGAAUGGGCUGCAGUCAACUCAUCCUGAGGUAGAGAUGGGAGAGAAAGAAAGAUGG